GUGCCAGCAGCCGCGGUAAUACGUAGGGAGCAAGCGUUGUUCGGAUUUACUGGGCGUAAAGGGCGCGUAGGCGGCGUGUUAAGUCAGCUGUGAAAUCUCCAAGCUCAACUUGGAACGGCCAGCUGAUACUGAUGUGCUAGAGUGCAGAAGGGGCAAUCGGAAUUCUUGGUGUAGCGGUGAAAUGCGUAGAUAUCAAGAGGAACACCUGAGGUGAAGACGGGUUGCUGGGCUGACACUGACGCUGAGGCGCGAAAGCCAGGGGAGCAAACGGGAUUAGAUACCCCCGUAGUCC
rnacentral:rRNA from 1 species